rnacentral:rRNA from 1 species
CUGGGAUUGCCUUAGUAACGGCGAGUGAAGCGGCAAUAGCUCAAAUUUGAAAGCUGGCCCCUUUGGGGUCCGCGUUGUAAUUUGUAGAGGAUGAUUCGGCGAGGGCUCCCGUCUAAGUCCCCUGGAACGGGGCGUCAUAGAGGGUGAGAAUCCCGUAUGUGAUGGGUUGCCUUAGCCAUGUGAAUCUCCUUCGACGAGUCGAGUUGUUUGGGAAUGCAGCUCUAAAUGGGAGGUAAAUUUCUUCUAAAGCUAAAUACCGGCCAGAGACCGAUAGCGCACAAGUAGAGUGAUCGAAAGAUGAAAAGCACUUUGGAAAGAGAGUUAAAAAGUACGUGAAAUUGUUGAAAGGGAAGCGCUUGCAGCCAGACUUGUCCGCAGUUGCUCAGCCGGUCUCCUGACCGGCGUACUCUUCUGCGGCCAGGCCAGCAUCAGUUCGGGCGGUCGGAUAAAGACCCCAGGAAUGUAGCUCCUCUCGGGGAGUGUUAUAGCCUGGGGUGGAAUGCGGCCAGCCUGGACUGAGGAUCUCGCUUCGGCUAGGAUGCUGGCGUAAUGGCUGUAAGCGGCCCGUCUUGAAACACGGACCAAGGAGUCUAACAUCUAUGCGAGUGUUUGGGUGUCAAACCCAUACGCGUAAUGAAAGUGAACGGAGGUGGGAACCCUCACGGGUGCACCAUCGACCGAUCCUGAUGUCUUCGGAUGGAUUUGAGUAAGAGCAUAGCUGUUGGGACCCGAAAGAUGGUGAACUAUGCCUGAAUAGGGUGAAGCCAGAGGAAACUCUGGUGGAGGCUCGCAGCGGUUCUGACGUGCAAAUCGAUCGUCAAAUUUGGGUAUAGGGGCGAAAGACUAAUCGAACCAUCUAGUAGCUGG